GGUUCUGACAAUUUGAAUGUAUUUCUUUGUAAUUAAAAAACAACAAUCUUCUUAGAAGAUACCAAAAAAAAAAUCAUUUGCAGAUUUACAUGGAAAUAAAAAAAAAUAAUUACAGGUAUUGAGUCCACUUUCAAAGUUUUUUGAAUGCAGGCAAUAAUAUCACAAGAAUUUGAUUUUCUAUAUUACAUAAUAUGUACAUUAUUAGUUGUAACAUAAAUAACAAAACAGUCGUUAAGUAUGGGUUAAGCAUAUUGAGUCAACACUAUAUAGUCAUAGUUGAACAAACUUAGUUGCAAGCCAAGGUAUAAGGUAUACUUAUGCUAUGUUGUGCCUAGGGUCGCCUCUUAAUGUACAUGCAGCAUUUAGAGGACUGCCCAUUUUGAGUAGCUAGUUGAUUAUGGGUAAGCUAUAGAGAAGGGUAAUAACAGAAAGUUUACAGUUGGGUAUAUCUGAUUAUUUCUGGGUUUGGAACCACAGUUAUUAAGUCCAAAACCAAAAAAGGAUGUUACAACAAUGGCCAUAGUAAUUGAACAAGCAGUGCAACUAUUAGAGAUCAUAAAAUGGAAAAUUGUGUGGUUUAAAAGACUUCUUGAAAUACCAAGAUUAUCAUUUAAAAAAAAACUAGGAAUUUGUAUGUUAGCCCUUACAAAUCUAAUGUCUUUUUUAUACAUGAAAAGUAACAAGCAUUGAGUAAUAGAUAAAAGUAAAAGUAAAGAUAAUUGAAAAUGGAAGCUCAAAAAAAAAACAAAAAACGUCUUAAAUUUAAAACCUUUUUUUAAAGUAAGCAUACAUAUUUUGUUUUGACACACACAAAUUCAGCCUACCUUGGCUUUUACAGUAAAGAAAUUUUAUCAAGCUAAAUUAUCUUUGAGCAAGAAGACUUACACCAGCAAAAAAAAAAAAGGAAAUAUUUUUUUUUCCUUAACAUUUUGUUUUUCUAGAGAACAGAUAAGCCACUUAGAGAAUAUCUCAAAUUUAUCCAAGAAUAAAACUCUUUACAAAUAAAUGUUAUGUUGAAAGACAAAAAAAAAAAAAAAAAAUAAU